UCCCCCCUGUUUUUUUAAAACAUGUCUCCAUGGACUAGGAUGUGGAGUCUGGCCUGCCCAUUGAAUAAAAAGUUUAAAAGGCCGCGGUAAUUUAACCGUGCAAAGGUAGCAUAAUCAGUAGUCUUUUAAUUGAGGGCUGGAAUGAAGGGUUGGACAAGAAGUUAACUGUCUCUGUAUUAUAGAUUGAAUUUUACUUUUAAGUGAAAAGGCUUAGAUGUAUUUAUGGGACGAUAAGACCCUAUAAAAUUUGAACAAGUUGACUUUAGCGUGUUGAAUUAGGAGUUUAAAUUAAAGUUAUGUUAUUUUGUUUUGUUGGGGUGACAGAGAUAUAGAUAUAAAUUAAGAGCUGUUUUUAAAUAUAUAAUAAUUUUGUUUAGUUUAAUAUGAUCCUUAAUUUGGGAUUAAAAGAUUAAAUUACUUUAGGGAUAACAGCGUAUUGUUUCUGAGAGUUCUUAUCGACGAAUUAGUUGCGACCUCGAUGUUGAAUUAAAGUUUCUUUUAAAUGUAGUGGUUUAAAUUAGUAGGUCUGUUCGACCUUUAAAACUUUACAUGAUUUGAGUUCAAACCGGUGUGAGCCA
rnacentral:rRNA from 1 species